GUGUUAUAUGAAAGGAGAGAAGGUCAGCACUCCCCUUGACAAGGAUGGAAGAUGUCGUUAGGCCUGAAAACAGGCUAAGGCCUUGUUACUCCUGUCUUCUAACCUGGCAUCUAACCAUGGUUUUCA
rnacentral:ncRNA from 1 species